rnacentral:rRNA from 1 species
UGAGUAACACGUGGGUAACCUGCCUGUAAGACUGGGAUAACUCCGGGAAACCGGAGCUAAUACCGGAUAGUUCCUUGAACCGCAUGGUUCAAGGAUGAAAGACGGUUUCGGCUGUCACUUACAGAUGGACCCGCGGCGCAUUAGCUAGUUGGUGAGGUAACGGCUCACCAAGGCGACGAUGCGUAGCCGACCUGAGAGGGUGAUCGGCCACACUGGGACUGAGACACGGCCCAGACUCCUACGGGAGGCAGCAGUAGGGAAUCUUCCGCAAUGGACGAAAGUCUGACGGAGCAACGCCGCGUGAGUGAUGAAGGUUUUCGGAUCGUAAAGCUCUGUUGUUAGGGAAGAACAAGUGCAAGAGUAACUGCUUGCACCUUGACGGUACCUAACCA